GUGCCAGCCGCCGCGGUAAGACAGAGGGUGCAAACGUUGUUCGGAAUUACUGGGCGUAAAGCGCGUGUAGGCAGCUUGGCAAGUCGGGUGUGAAAGCCCUGGGCUCAACCUAGGAAGUGCACUCGAAACUGCUUCGCUUGAGUAUCGGAGAGGAAAGCGGAAUUCUCGGUGUAGAGGUGAAAUUCGUAGAUAUCGAGAGGAACACCAGUGGCGAAGGCGGCUUUCUGGACGAUUACUGACGCUGAGACGCGAAAGCGUGGGGAGCAAACAGGAUUAGAUACCCGCGUAGUCC
rnacentral:rRNA from 1 species